rnacentral:rRNA from 1 species
CGCAUCUGUGCAUGCAGCAUAUCAAUAAGCGGAGGAAAAGAAACUAACAAGGAUUCCCUUAGUAACGGCGAGUGAAGCGGGAAGAGCUCAAAUUUGAAAUCUUCAAGGUUUUACCUUGACGAAUUGUAGUUUAAAGAAGUGUUUUCUGCUGAAGUUUUGGUAAAAGUUCUUUGGAAUAGGACAUCAUAGAGGGUGAGAAUCCCGUAUUUGACCAUUAUUUUCAGCUUUGUGAUACACUUUCAAAGAGUCGGAUUGUUUGGGAAUGCAGUCCAAAAUGGGUGGUAAAUUUCAUCUAAAGCUAAAUAUUGGCGAGAGACCGAUAGCGAACAAGUACCGUGAGGGAAAGAUGAAAAGAACUUUGAAAAGAGAGUUAAACAGUACGUGAAAUUGUCAAAAGGGAAGCGUUUGACACCAGUGUCGUUUUCUCGAAAAUCAAUUAAAAAUGGCUCGAUUUUGUAUUGCUAAGACCUUAAAAGCUCACUGUACAUUUUUCGUGUCUUUUUUAAUGCACUUUUCGUUUAACAAGUCAACAUCAGUUUCUUUUGUUGUAGAAGGGUCAUUGGAAGGUGGCUUUCUUUUCGGAGAAAGUGUUUAUAGCCUUUGGCCUCUGCAAUCGAAGAGACUGAGGUCUGCAGCGUAGACUCUUCGGGGUUAGAUACAUUUGUGCUAAGUUAUAGCUUUUUAUAGACAACUUGUUGACUAUAAUUAGUCUUGUAGCUUACUCGCUUAUGCUAUUUUACCUACGCUUAGGAUGUUGAUAGUCACAGCGUGUAC